GAGAUUUCUUUUUUCUUUUAUGGAGAUCGAGAUAGAAAAGAGGGUCCCCCUGCCGAACUCCCCACCUCCAACUCUCAUCGAAUCAUUCGCUUAAAUUCACCUUCUGAGGAUCGCCCACAAUGCAAAAACUCUGCAGGCGGCUUUCCAUGGUGGGUUGUAGGGUUUCUUUGUAUUGGAGGUUUUGUGAGUAUGGGAAGACUUGGGUCUCAGGCUUUGUAUGGAGGUUUUAAAGGAUUUAUGGGAUAUCGUUGUUUUUUUUUUUUUCAGUCUUUUGUCUGGGUGAUUGAUUUGUUGUUGUGGGUUAGACUGGUUAGGGGAUUGUUUGUGAGAGUUGAUUGGGUUUUGAGGGGAUUUGAAGGAGGUAGGUUAGAGAGCACUGGGGUUGAGCUUCCUUGAAGUCCAAUGGUGGUUCUUGCCGGUUAGAUAGAGCUGCUGAAUUAUGGAUUCCACAGCCCUGUUUCAUGCUUGGAAGGAUUUGGAUAGGUUUGUGGUUUGCAUAUUUCAGGAGCUGCAUUAACUGGGGAGGAAUCUCGUUUGGAUUGAAGGGAGCUCUGCACCAUCCCUUCUGCCUUAUCACGUUUUUGUGUUUAUCUGUUGCUUCGUUUGUCCCUUUUUUUUUUCUUUGCUGGUUUGGUGCAAAAUUUCUUUCACCAAAGUGGAGAAGUUUCUAAUGGUUCUGAUGAUCUUUUAGAGUUGUUUGACUUGUGUGUUUUUCUAUUUCUUAUGUUGUUUUGUCUGUUUUUAUUUUCUUCCUUGUUGGCUUGGAAAUAAAGCUAUAUUUUUAUGUAAUUUAUCUCUCCUUUAUACCGAACUAUACCAUGCAUCAAGGAGCUUGCAGGAUCAUGGAAGAGAUCGAGUAUGAGAUUUGAUGAAAAAUCUUGUUUUCAAUAUGGAUUUGACGACGUUUCUCUGAGAAGAUCUGGGUUGCUUUUGAUGUGAUGUUUCUAUUUGGUAUGUGCUCUCUUCAUGUUGGAUCGAAGGGAAUUGAAAGCAGUUCGAUUUCUAUCUCUGAGAAGAUAUCUAUGCAACUUUUCUCUUGUUGGUUAUAUUAAUAAUAUGUUCGAUUUCUAUCUCCUGAUUCUAUUUACUUCAUAUUUUCCUUAACGAGCUAGGUUAAAUGCUUGCAAACUCGACCCAACAACUUUGGCUAUUUGUGUAGAAUAUCUUUCUCAGACUGAUUAACAGUCAAUAUCCUGAAUUGGGUCUGUCAGAGGCAAUGAACCUGGAGCCUUCCUGUAUCCCCAUCGCAGGUCAGAACUCAGAACCGAACAAGAUCAGGCGUCUUUGGCCGGAAUAUCUAUUCAACCGGGUACUGGUUGCACCGGUCCUUUGUAAUUGUAUUUGUAUACCUGGAGACCGGAGUCCUGAACUACUAUUGAGUUUUCCCUUUCUUUCCCUACGUUUUCUUUCAAACCAAACACAGCUUAAAGGUUUGUAAGAAAAAUUAAAAAUUUAUUAAGGCCCUUGUUUCUGUUCCUUUUCGUAUUC